rnacentral:rRNA from 1 species
GACGAACGCUGGCGGCGUGCUUAACACAUGCAAGUCGAACGGUAAGGCCCUUCGGGGUACACGAGUGGCGAACGGGUGAGUAACACGUGGGUGAUCUGCCCUGCACUUCGGGAUAAGCCUGGGAAACUGGGUCUAAUACCGGAUAGGACCACUGCCUGCAUGGGUGGUGGUGGAAAGCUUUUGCGGUGUGGGAUGGGCCCGCGGCCUAUCAGCUUGUUGGUGGGGUGAUGGCCUACCAAGGCGACGACGGGUAGCCGGCCUGGGAGGGUGACCGGCCACACUGGGACUGAGAUACGGACCAGACUCCUACGGGAGGCAGCAGUGGGGAAUAUUGCACAAUGGGCGCAAGCCUGAUGCAUCGACGCCGCGUGAGGGAUGACGGCCUUCGGGUUGUAAACCUCUUUCAGCACCGACGAAGCGCAAGUGACGGUAGGUGCAGAAGAAGGACCGGCCAACUACGUGCCAGCCGCCGCCGUAA